UUAACACAUGCAAGUCGAGCGAGACCCACCUUUCGGGGUGGUGUUCUAGCGGCGAACGGGUGAGUAACACGUGGGCAACCUGCCCUCAGCUCUGGGAUAACUCCAAGAAAUUGGGGCUAAUACCGGAUAUGACCGCUGACCGCAUGGUCUGGUGGUGGAAAGAUUUAUCGGCUGGGGAUGGGCCCGCGGCCUAUCAGCUUGUUGGUGGGGUAGUGGCCUACCAAGGCGACGACGGGUAGCCGGCCUGAGAGGGUGACCGGCCACACUGGGACUGAGACACGGCCCAGACUCCUACGGGAGGCAGCAGUGGGGAAUAUUGCGCAAUGGGCGGAAGCCUGACGCAGCGACGCCGCGUGGGGGAUGACGGCCUUCGGGUUGUAAACCUCUUUCAGCAGGGACGAAGCGGAAGUGACGGUACCUGCAGAAGAAGCACCGGCCAACUACGUGCCAGCAGCCGCGGUAAUACGUAGGGUGCAAGCGUUGUCCGGAAUUAUUGGGCCGUAAAGAGCUCGUAGGCGGUUUGUUGCGUCGGCUGUGAAAUCCCGAGGCUCAACCUCGGGUCUGCAGUCGAUACGAGCAAACUAGAGUGNUGCAGGGGAGACUGGAAUUCCUGGUGUAACCGGUGAAAUGCCC
rnacentral:rRNA from 1 species